rnacentral:rRNA from 1 species
UAAUACGUAGGUGGCAAGCGUUGUCCGGAAUUAUUGGGCGUAAAGCGCGCGCAGGCGGUCCUUUAAGUCUGAUGUGAAAUCUUGCGGCUCAACCGCAAGCGGUCAUUGGAAACUGGGGGACUUGAGUGCAGAAGAGGAAAGCGGAAUUCCACGUGUAGCGGUGAAAUGCGUAGAGAUGUGGAGGAACACCAGUGGCGAAGGCGGCUUUCUGGUCUGUAACUGACGCUGAGGCGUGAAAGCGUGGGGAGCAAACAGGAUUAGAUACCCUGGUAGUCCACGCCGUAAACGAUGAGUGCUAAGUGUUGGAGGGUUUCCGCCCUUCAGUGCUGCAGCUAACGCAUUAAGCACUCCGCCUGGGGAGUACGGUCGCAAGACUGAA